GUCCUCGUAACGCAAUGGUAGAGCAUUCGCUUCACAUGCCAAUAGUCUGUGGUUUGAUCCCGCCCGGAACA